rnacentral:rRNA from 1 species
CCCUUAGAUGUUCUGGGCCGCACGCGCGCUACACUGACGAAUGCAACGAGCUUAUAACCUUGGCCGAAAGGUCUGGGUAAUCUCCAAAUUUCGUCGUGAUGGGGAUAGAUUAUUGCAAUUAUUAAUCUUCAACGAGGAAUGCCUAGUAAGCGCAAGUCAUCAGCUUGCGUUGAUUACGUCCCUGCCCUUUGUACACACCGCCCGUCGCUCCUACCGAUUGAAUGGUCCGGUGAAGCGUUCGGACCGUGGCCUUUGGACGGUUCGCCGUCUGUUGGCUGCGGGAAAUUCGUUAAACCUUAUCAUUUAGAGGAAGGAGAAGUCGUAACA